rnacentral:tRNA from 1 species
GCGGGUAUAGUACAAUGGUAGUACAUGAGAUUUCCAAUCUUAUGACGCGAGUCCGAUUCUCGCUACCCGCU